CUCAGGCUAUAGUGUUCCAUGUAUACCCCAUGUGCCCAUCACAGGGUCGGAUCUCGGGCUAUAGUGUUCAGUGUGUACCCAUGUGCCCAUCACAGGGGCAGGUCUCAGGCUAUAGCAUUCUCUGUGCACCCCAUGUGCCCAUCACAGGGUCGGAUCUCGGGAUGCAGCCACUUGUCCUUUGUGUGAGGAUGACUGAGCAUGAUUUCCAGGUCUGUGUUUUGACAUCUGCGCAUGAACAAGCUGCCUGA
rnacentral:lncRNA from 1 species